UUUAGAUGACGAAGUGGUUGAUGCCAUGCUUCAAGAAAAGCUUCUAAGCUUCAGGUAACCAGGAACCGUACCCCAAACCGACACAGGUGGUCGGGUAGAGAAUACCAAGGCGCUUGAGAGAACUCGGUGAAGGAACUAGGCAAAAUGGCACCGUAACUUCGGGAGAAGGUGCGCCGGCUAGGGUGAAGGAUUUACUCCGUAAGCUCUGGCUGGUCGAAGAUACCAGGCCGCUGCGACUGUUUAUUAAAACACAGCACUCUGCAAACACGAAAGUGGACGUAUAGGGUGUGACGCCUGCCCGGUGCCGGAAGGUUAAUUGAUGGGGUUAGCGCAAGCGAAGCUCUUGAUCGAAGCCCCGGUAAACGGCGGCCGUAACAUAACGGUCCUAAGGUAGCGAAAUUCCUUGUCGGGUAAGUUCCGACCUGCACGAAUGGCGUAACGAUGGCGGCGCUGUCUCCACCCGAGACUCAGUGAAAUUGAAAUCGCUGUGAAGAUGCAGUGUAUCCGCGGCUAGACGGAAAGACCCGUGAACCUUUACUGUAGCUUUGCACUGGACUUUGAGCCUGCUUGUGUAGGAUAGGUGGAGGCUUUGAAGCGUGGACGCCAGUUCGCGUGGAGCCAUCCUUGAAAUACCACCCUGGCAUGCUUGAGGUUCUAACUCUGGUCCGUAAUCCGGAUCGAGGACAGUGUAUGGUGGGCAGUUUGACUGGGCGGUCUCCCUAAAGAGUAACGGAGGAGUACGAAGGUGCGCUCAGACCGGUCGGAAAUCGGUCGCAGAGUAUAAAGGCAAAAGCGCGCUUGACUGCGAGACAGACACGUCGAGCAGGUACGAAAGCAGGUCUUAGUGAUCCGGUGGUUCUGUAUGGAAGGGCCAUCGCUCAACGGAUAAAGGUACUCCGGGGAUAACAGGCUGAUACCGCCCAAGAGUUCAUAUCGACGGCGGUGUUUGGCACCUCGAUGUCGGCUCAUCACAUCCUGGGGCUGAAGCCGGUCCCAAGGGUAUGGCUGUUCGCCAUUUAAAGUGGUACGCGAGCUGGGUUUAGAACGUCGUGAGACAGUUCGGUCCCUAUCUGCCGUGGACGUUUGAGAUUUGAGAGGGCUGCUCCUAGUACGAGAGGACCGGAGUGGACGAACCUCUGGUGUUCCGGUUGUCACGCCAGUGGCAUUGCCGGGUAGCUAUGUUCGGAAAAGAUAACCGCUGAAAGCAUCUAAGCGGGAAACUUGCCUCAAGAUGAGAUCUCACUGGGAACUUGAUUCCCCUGAAGGGCCGUCGAAGACUACGACGUUGAUAGGCUGGGUGUGUAAGCGUUGUGAGGCGUUGAGCUAACCAGUACUAAUUGCCCGUGAGGC
rnacentral:rRNA from 1 species